CCUACGGGAGGCUGCAGUGAGGAAUAUUGGUCAAUGGACGAGAGUCUGAACCAGCCAAGUAGCGUGAAGGAUGACUGCCCUAUGGGUUGUAAACUUCUUUUAUAAAGGAAUAAAACGAGGCACGUGUGCCUUUUUGCAUGUACUUUAUGAAUAAGGAUCGGCUAACUCCGUGCCAGCAGCCGCGGUAAUACGGAGGAUCCGCGCGUUAUCCGGAUUUAUUGGGUUUAAAGGGAGCGUAGAUGGGUUGUUAAGUCAGUUGUGAAAGUUUGCGGCUCAACCGUAAAAUUGCAAUUGAUACUGGCAGUCGUGAGUACAGUUGAGGUAAGCGGAAUUCGUGGUGUAGCGGUGAAAUGCUUAGAUAGCACGAAGAACCCCGAUUGCGAAGGCAGCUUACUAAACUGUGACUGACAUUGAUGCUCGAAAGUGUGGGUAUCAAACAGGAUUAGAUACCCCAGUAGUC
rnacentral:rRNA from 1 species